rnacentral:rRNA from 1 species
AUUGAACGCUGGCGGCACGCCUAACACAUGCAAGUCGAGCGGUAGCAUGAACUGUAGCAAUACAGUUUGAUGACGAGCGGCGGACGGGUGAGGAACACGUAGGAACCUGCCCAAGAGUGGGGGAUAACUAAGGGAAACUUUAGCUAAUACCGCAUAAUCUCUGAGGAGAAAAGCUACCCGUAAGGGCGGCGCUUUUGGAGGGGCCUGCGUCCGAUUAGUUAGUUGGUGAGGUAAUGGCUCACCAAGACGAUGAUCGGUAACUGGUCUGAGAGGACGACCAGGCACACUGGGACUGAGACACGGCCCAGACUCCACGGGAGGCAGCAGUGGGGAAUCUUGGACAAUGGGGGCAACCCUGAUCCAGCGAUGCCGCGUGGGUGAAGAAGGCCUUCGGGUUGUAAAGCCCUUUAGGCUGGGAAGAAGAGUAUGAGGUGCAUAGCCUCGUACUUUGACGGUACCAGCAGAAUAAGCACCGGCAAACUCUGUGCCAGCCGCCGCGGUAA